UUCUUUUCUUCUUUAAACUCUUGUAUUUGUGGUCACGAUGCUGGAAAUGGGACAUUAUUACUUUCUUUUCAGAGGUUAGGGACUGAGGCGACGGGACGCCUGACAUCGUGCAGCUAGCUGGACAGCCAGAAUCAAAGAGAACCAUCACUGUUUCUGCAACCGCCCUCUGUUUUCAUACCCUGCUCCCGAGUCAGGUAAGUGCCACGACAUGAAAGAGUGAAUUCUAACAGAAGUCCAAAGGAGGGG
rnacentral:lncRNA from 1 species